AGAACGAACGCUGAUGGCGUGCCUCAUACAUGCAAGUCGAGCGGCUCUUCGGAGUAGCGGCGAACGGGUGAGUAACACGUAAAUAAUCUGCCCCUCAGUCGGGGAUAACCAGCCUAACGGCUGACUAAUACCGAAUAUUGAUAACGACCGUAGGGUGUGUUAUCGAAAGGCUUCGGUCGCUGAGGGAUGAGUUUGCGGUGCAUUAGCUUGUUGGAGGGGUAACGGCCCACCAAGGCUUCGAUGCAUAGCCGGCCUGAGAGGGUGAACGGCCACAUUGGGACUGAGAUACGGCCCAGACUCCUACGGGAGGCAGCAGUAGGGAAUUUUGCGCAAUGGGGGGAACCCUGACGCAGCAACGCCAUGUGAGGGAUGAAGCAUUUAGGUGUGUAAACCUCUGUCAGUAGGGAAUAAAUACGAGUUUACUCGGGUUGAAUGUACCUACAAAGGAAGCACCGGCUAACUUCGUGCCAGCAGCCGCGGUAAUACGAGGGGUGCAAGUGUUGUUCGGAAUUACUGGGCGUAAAGGGAGCGUAGGCGGAAGCUUAAGUCAGAUGUUUAAUUUCGGGGCCCAACCCCGAAUUUGCGUUUGAAACUGGGUUUCUUGAAUAUAUGUAGAGGUGAAUGGAAUUCCCGGUGUAGCGGUGGAAUGCGUAGAUAUCGGGAGGAACACCAGUUGCGAAGGCGAUUCACUGGACUAAUAUUGACGCUGAGGCUCGAAAGCGUGGGGAGCGAACAGGAUUAGAUACCCUGGUAGUCCACGCCGUAAUCGAUGAAUACUAGGUGCUGGGUUGGUUAACGACUUGGUGCCGUAAGCAAACGCGUUAAGUAUUCCGCCUGGGGAGUACGCUCGCGAGAGUG
rnacentral:rRNA from 1 species